rnacentral:rRNA from 1 species
UACGUAGGGUGCAAGCGUUGUCCGGAAUUAUUGGGCGUAAAGAGCUCGUAGGCGGUCUGUCACGUCGGCUGUGAAAUCCCGAGGCUCAACCUCGGGUCUGCAGUCGAUACGGGCAAACUAGAGUAUUGCAGGGGAGACUGGAAUUCCUGGUGUAGCGGUGAAAAUGCGCAGAUAUCAGGAGGAACACCGGUGGCGAAGGCGGGUCUCUGGGCCGAUACUGACGCUGAGGAGCGAAAAGCGUGGGGGAGCGAAACAGG